GAUGAACGCUGGCGGCGUGCCUAACACAUGCAAGUCGAGCGAUUUACUUCGGUAAAGAGCGGCGGACGGGUGAGUAACGCGUGGGUAACCUGCCCUGUACACACGGAUAACAUACCGAAAGGUAUGCUAAUACGAGAUAAUAUGCUUUUAUCGCAUGGUAGAAGUAUCAAAGCUCCGGCGGUACAGGAUGGACCCGCGUCCGAUUAGCUAGUUGGUAAGGUAACGGCUUACCAAGGCGACGAUCAGUAGCCGACCUGAGAGGGUGAUCGGCCACAUUGGAACUGAGACACGGGCCAAACUCCUACGGGAGGCAGCAGUGGGGAAUAUUGCACAAUGGGCGAAAGCCUGAUGCAGCAACGCCGCGUGAGCGAUGAAGGCCUUCGGGUCGUAAAGCUCUGUCCUCAAGGAAGAUAAUGACGGUACUUGAGGAGGAAGCCCCGGCUAACUACGUGCCAGCAGCCGCCGUAA
rnacentral:rRNA from 1 species